rnacentral:rRNA from 3 species
UGCAGUCGAGCGGACAGAAGGGAGCUUGCUCCCGGAUGUUAGCGGCGGACGGGUGAGUAACACGUGGGUAACCUGCCUGUAAGACUGGGAUAACUCCGGGAAACCGGAGCUAAUACCGGAUAGUUCCUUGAACCGCAUGGUUCAAGGAUGAAAGACGGUUUCGGCUGUCACUUACAGAUGGACCCGCGGCGCAUUAGCUAGUUGGUGAGGUAACGGCUCACCAAGGCGACGAUGCGUAGCCGACCUGAGAGGGUGAUCGGCCACACUGGGACUGAGACACGGCCCAGACUCCUACGGGAGGCAGCAGUAGGGAAUCUUCCGCAAUGGACGAAAGUCUGACGGAGCAACGCCGCGUGAGUGAUGAAGGUUUUCGGAUCGUAAAGCUCUGUUGUUAGGGAAGAACAAGUGCAAGAGUAACUGCUUGCACCUUGACGGUACCUAACCAGAAAGCCACGGCUAACUACGUGCCAGCAGCCGCGGUAAUACGUAGGUGGCAAGCGUUGUCCGGAAUUAUUGGGCGUAAAGGGCUCGCAGGCGGUUUCUUAAGUCUGAUGUGAAAGCCCCCGGCUCAACCGGGGAGGGUCAUUGGAAACUGGGAAACUUGAGUGCAGAAGAGGAGAGUGGAAUUCCACGUGUAGCGGUGAAAUGCGUAGAGAUGUGGAGGAACACCAGUGGCGAAGGCGACUCUCUGGUCUGUAACUGACGCUGAGGAGCGAAAGCGUG